GCAGUAGCCACGGGAAUACGGAGGAUCCAAGCGUUAUCCGGAGUCAUUGGGUUUAAAGGGUCCGUAGGCGGUCUUGUAAGUCAGUGGUGAAAGCCCAUCGCUCAACGGUGGAACGGCCAUUGAUACUGCAGGACUUGAAUUAUUGGGAAGUAACUAGAAUAUGUAGUGUAGCGGUGAAAUGCUUAGAGAUUACAUGGAAUACCAAUUGCGAAGGCAGGUUACUACCAAUUGAUUGACGCUGAUGGACGAAAGCGUGGGUAGCGAACAGGAUUAGAUACCCCUGUAGUCCCUGUCUCUUAUAU
rnacentral:rRNA from 1 species